rnacentral:rRNA from 1 species
CUAUAAUGCAGUCGAGCGGACAGAUGGGAGCUUGCUCCCUGAAGUCAGCGGCGGACGGGUGAGUAACACGUGGGCAACCUGCCUGUAAGACUGGGAUAACUCCGGGAAACCGGGGCUAAUACCGGAUAAUUCUUUCCCUCACAUGAGGGAAAGCUGAAAGAUGGUUUCGGCUAUCACUUACAGAUGGGCCCGCGGCGCAUUAGCUAGUUGGUGAGGUAACGGCUCACCAAGGCAACGAUGCGUAGCCGACCUGAGAGGGUGAUCGGCCACACUGGGACUGAGACACGGCCCAGACUCCUACGGGAGGCAGCAGUAGGGAAUCUUCCGCAAUGGACGAAAGUCUGACGGAGCAACGCCGCGUGAGUGAUGAAGGUUUUCGGAUCGUAAAACUCUGUUGUUAGGGAAGAACAAGUACCGGAGUAACUGCCGGUACCUUGACGGUACCUAACCAGAAAGCCACGGCUAACUACGUGCCAGCAGCCGCGGUAAUACGUAGGUGGCAAGCGUUGUCCGGAAUUAUUGGGCGUAAAGCGCGCGCAGGCGGUUCCUUAAGUCUGAUGUGAAAGCCCCCGGCUCAACCGGGGAGGGUCAUUGGAAACUGGGGAACUUGAGUGCAGAAGAGAAGAGUGGAAUUCCACGUGUAGCGGUGAAAUGCGUAGAGAUGUGGAGGAACACCAGUGGCGAAGGCG